AAGCCCAUGAAAAGGGCAUAGUAUUAACAAAUCUUUGUAACGCUCCCAUGCAUCAAAUAAUGAUUCCCCAUCUUAUUUCCUAAAAAAUUUAAUCACAUUCCUAACUU